GGACAUGGAGGAAUUACAGUGAGUGACCUUCAAGAAAAACCCUUAGUGCUCCUUCAGUACCCAGUAAAUGAGGAUUAUCAUACAACUAUGAUUACAGAGUGUGCUUCGACACAAAACCUGACAUCCAGAUAAACCAAGGCGUCAUUGAGUUCUCUAAAAAGACUCCCAAGAGUUCUCUAUAAGACAGAUUCCUAUUAAAGUCUCAGAACACGCUCUGUGCAAGAUCAUCUCUGGAGAGCAUACAUGUUGGAGAAUUGCUGCUGCCCCACUCCUGUGCCAAAAUCUGCUCCAAGGGAUCCUCUCCUAGUCAGAGGGCUGUACUCUGAGCACCAAUAUUAGCUACAACACCAAGAUUUCCCAUUACACAAACCGGAUCCUCGAAGUCAUCCACACCAAAUGAAUCUCAAUUCUUUCUCCCAGUAGCCUGAGAACUAGAUUUACCAGCCUUGGCCCUUUCCUUCCUUUCUAGUUUCAGGACAGGAUGGGAACAGAGUCCUUGGCUGUGAGAAUGGGACCAAUAACAAAAUAAAGAUGACAGAAGAGUCAGUGACUUCAAAGACAGAGUGUUAGAAAUUUCCAAUAUGAACAACAGAAAGAAAAGAGAUUUUUUAAAAAAUGAACAAAUCCCUAGGGACCUGUGAGACAAUAACUGUGUUAAGUUUUCCCAACUUAUAAGUAUUUAUAUUUGUAUAUGGUAACAACUAUGCAGUUUUUGUGUCAGUUAUUUUUUGGUAUAUAUUUAAAGUAUACAACAUGAUGUUUCAACAUACUUAAAUGUAGUGAAAUGAUUACUACCGUAACCACAGUUAUUGUCUCACAAAUUAUUGUCUUUAGAAAAAGAGUAAAAAGAAUACUGGGAAGAAGAAAUAAUAGCCCAAAUUUCUCAAAUUUGGUGAAAGACAUAAACUUACAGAUUCAAGAAACUGAAUAUUUCCCAAACAGAAUAAACUUUAAAGAAUCCACACUCAAACACAUCAUAAUCAAACAUCUGAAAACUAAUGACAAACUUUUAAAAUCAGCCAGAGAUAAACCACACAUUACCAAUUGAUGAAAAAUGAUUCAAGUGACAGCAGAUUUGAAGGACAGAGGAAGAGGCAAAAUAUUAUUUUUGGAAAAAAUAAUAUUUUGCCUCAGUUCAAAAGGAAAGAACUCUCAACCCAGAAUUCUACAACCAGUAAAAACAUCCUUCAAGAAUGAAUAUGAAGGAAAGCUAAGAAUAAAGAUAUCUUUAAUUUCUUUGCCAAAUUUUUCUAUUUUCUCAUUUGAUGUUAGAGUGUUUAUAAGUACUUAUUAGUGCAUUUUUAUGGUAGUUGGUUUACAAUCCUUGUCUGAGAAUAGCUA